UCAGUCUCUUUUGUUCUAGGUUCUGUUGUAAGAGACUGAAUUUCUUUCCUCCUUUCAUGGUUUUCCUUGUGUAACAAGCGCUGAACACUGCAGCAUGAAACUGGCUGACAUCACACCUUGUUGGGGGUCUGCAUUCAGAGGAGACUUUCUGGCUGGUGUGGAGGAGAUUCAUCUCUCUUAUGAAUGGCCAUGUGCUUUCAUUCUGUUAUUUCAUAUCCUUGGUGGGAUCUGAGAUGAUGGCCUUAAAAGACAGGAAUUCUUGUGAGAAACACAGAGCCUACUCUGCUCUCCAGGAUACUUUGGUUGACCUUUAUUGACUGUGAGAAGAGAGGCCUCCUGUGCUGUGUGAGAUCAGGACAGAGAAACCAAAGACUGGCUUGUUUCCUCUCGUCUAUGUCUCUGUUUAAAUAUUUUAUGAAUGAACGCAAGAAAGCAAAAGCAAGAAAAGAAUAACUAACUUGCAGAGUAAAAAUAAAGACUGCAGGAAAGAUCAAAGAGGAAGAUCCAGAUCCGGAGAUCAUGCACCAAGAAUUUUAAGUAGAGUUGUAGAUAAAAGAGAAAAGGUCAUACGGAAAAGAAGGAAAGGGUAGCCAAGCCCAGAAACUGUCCUCAUGUGGUCAGGAAGUGAGCAAGCCCUGGUUCUGCCCACCAUGUGCGAAAUAUCCAUCACUUUGACUCCACAGCUCCGGCUGACCUGACCCUGACCUCUGAUUCACAGACUGUUUGUACCGAGUUAUUCUUCACUGGAAGACGUUCCAUGGUUGCCAUGGUCAGACAGGGAAGCAUCUGAGUCCAGAUGGAGACAGCUCUGGUAACUGUGGCACCCCUACUGCGUCUUGUUGUGAUUGAGUUUGCGGUUUAUCAGUUACCAGUAUGGGUGCACUUCCCCUCAAGUAGCUUGAUUUUUUUGUUCUUAUGACUUGCUGUGCUUAGGACCUCCUCCCCCAUCGACUAAUUUUGAUUCCAGAAAGAGUCUUGAUGAUAUAAUCUGCUUGAUCAUUUCAUCUGGCCACUGUCCAAUUCCAAAUGGAAUGCACAAAAUUAAAAACACAUUAGAGGAAUCAUCAUGAGUUCAGAAAACAAUGCAUUUAUUUUCUUGACCUCUGAAGGAAGAGAGAUAGAAUGUUCUCUAGUAUAUGACAAGCUUAAAAUGUAUCUUAUUUUUAAUACAGAGAAAUUGAGGGGUCUACUCCUGAAGUAUAGUCUGUGUCCAUAGAACUGGUGUCUUUUAGAAGCUUCCUAGAAAUACAAACUUCUAGAUGAGGUCCAGGCCAGAUUACUGGUAUGCACAUGUGUUGUCUUGGAGCACUGUCCCAGAACACUGAGGAGCACUCAGGCCUAGUCUCCAGACAGUGGUCAUCUCUAGAACAUCCAAAGCCAGGAUAGACCUUGUGAUCUCCCUCCCAGCCUCCCACUGCCAGAGCACAUCAGCUUUUACCUCGAAUUUAAUGUGUUGCAGUCCCAAGCCAAACCUUAAAAAUGUAGCUUGUUGCACAGAUGACCUGAAAACCAUCACUCAAUGCGGCACAAGGCUGUGCGGGAUCUAAAACGACCCUAGAGUGUUUCACACGUGGGUCCAUUUUACCUGGAGAUUUGAUUUUUACUUGUCCUUAAACACCUCACACUAUUUUUGAAAGUAUUCGGAGUUGAUGGCUGCUGGGAGACAGGGAGAAAGACAGUUGUCUUAGAGGGAUGGGACUCUUGGUGAUCCCAAUGGAUGGAUCCACACUGAAGGACACUGGGGGACACAUAUCAUACUCCAUAGGCCGUAUUAUAUAUGAGUUUAUUAAAUUGGGGGAGCAGUGGGGGAGGUGCAGAGAGGGGAAUGGAUCUAGUGCCGUCAAACUAUAUGGUAUAAAAAUCACAAAAAUUCCAUUAAAAAUUCAAAAGGAGUAUACGCGGAUGUGAAGGACUCACUUAAAAAUGGAAU